AGCGAACGCUGGCGGCAGGCUUAACACAUGCAAGUCGAACGCAUCCUUCGGGAUGAGUGGCAGACGGGUGAGUAACGCGUGGGAACGUGCCCUUUGGUUCGGAAUAACCCAGGGAAACUUGGGCUAAUACCGGAUAAGCCCUUACGGGGAAAGAUUUAUCGCCGAAGGAUCGGCCCGCGUCCGAUUAGCUAGUUGGUGAGGUAACGGCUCACCAAGGCGACGAUCGGUAGCUGGUCUGAGAGGAUGAUCAGCCACACUGGGACUGAGACACGGCCCAGACUCCUACGGGAGGCAGCAGUGGGGAAUAUUGGACAAUGGGGGCAACCCUGAUCCAGCCAUGCCGCGUGAGUGAUGAAGGCCCUAGGGUUGUAAAGCUCUUUCGGCGGGGACGAUAAUGACGGUACCCGCAGAAGAAGCCCCGGCUAACUUCGUGCCAGCCGCCGCAGUAAUAC
rnacentral:rRNA from 1 species